ACCAUACUGGCUCAGUUGGUAGAGCAUGGUGUUUGCAACACCAGGGUUGUGGGUUCGAUUCCCACGGGGGGCC
rnacentral:tRNA from 1 species